UUAUUAUUAUUAUUAUUAUUGAUUCGACGUCAUAACUUCAUAAUAUAUUAUUUAUUUAUAUCCAAGUGCAUCCGAGUAUACCUAUUUUAAAAUUAUUUAUUUAAUAUUAUUAUAACAUAACUGGGUAUCCAGCGGCCGUAACUACGACGACGAAACGAACACGUUUUAAUUGUGUUAUCGCGUAAACACGAUACGCGAUGAUGCAAAUUUUCUAUUAUAGGCAUCACCAAAGUACAUUAUAAUAAUAAACUGCUGCAUCCGACGCGAUACCAUUUGAGUAUAUUAACAUAUUUCAAUGUAUAUGCAAUAGCGGAUCUGGGGGGGGGGCGGGCGAUAGGGUAGAUCGCUCACCCACCGUUCACUCUUCAAUACACUUUUAGCUAGAUUCAUCGUUGGGCCCGUCAUAAUUGUGUGCUUUAUAUGCGUUUUCAAAAUCCCCCCCCCCCCCCCGAUCACCGUUAUUUUUCCACUCCGUAUAUUUUAGCCCGACGGGACGAUUUUAUAUUCCGUGAGAUGAUGACGACACAAGCGUACACGCAAUAAGAUACAUACGCGAUAAUCGCCUACGUCUUAUACCCCAUUAGAUACUUUACAAUAUCGAAAUGAACAGGGUAAUCGUUCCU